rnacentral:rRNA from 1 species
CCUACGGGAGGCAGCAGUGGGGAAUAUUGGACAAUGGGCGAAAGCCUGAUCCAGCAAUGCCGCGUGAGUGAUGAAGGCCUUAGGGUCGUAAAGCUCUUUUACCCGGGAUGAUAAUGACAGUACCGGGAGAAUAAGCCCCGGCUAACUCCGUGCCAGCAGCCGCGGUAAUACGGAGGGGGCUAGCGUUGUUCGGAAUUACUGGGCGUAAAGCGUGCGUAGGCGGUUAUUCAAGUCAGAGGUGAAAGCCCGGGGCUCAACCCCGGAACGGCCUUUGAAACUAGGUAGCUAGAAUCUUGGAGAGGUCAGUGGAAUUCCGAGUGUAGAGGUGAAAUUCGUAGAUAUUCGGAAGAACACCAGUGGCGAAGGCGACUGACUGGACAAGUAUUGACGCUGAGGCACGAAAGCGUGGGGAGCAAACAGGAUUAGAUACCCUGGUAGUCCACGCCGUAAACGAUGAUAACUAGCUGUUCGGGUACUUGGUAUCUGAGUGGCGCAGCUACGACAUUAAGUUAUCCGUCCGUCGGGUAGGUACGGUCGCGAGAAUUAAACUAACAAAUAGUAAGUUAGUACGGCGUGAGACGUGCCGAACGGACGACCGACGAGGGAGGUAGG